rnacentral:tRNA from 1 species
GCCUGGCUAGCUCAGUCGGUAGAGCAUGAGACUCUUCAUAUCAGGGUCGUGGGUUCGAGCCCCACUUGUGGCG